rnacentral:lncRNA from 1 species
CGAGCCCUGGGACACACAAGGAGGGGGUGCCAUGGGCACCUGCCCUGACGCUGCCCCAGACCAAGGAAGGCCAGAGAUGGCCAGGAGCCACCAGCAGUCGGGAUGGCCCGGCAGAGCUCCCAACAGCCUCGGAAGAAGUCUGCCCACUCCUCGGUCUUAGACUUCUGGCCUCCAGAAGUGUGGGACAAUGCACUUGUUACUCAUGCCCACAGCCUGUGGACCGGGUCGGGGCAGUCCUGGGAAGUGAACGAACUGAGCUACCAAGAGUGCACAUUUGCUGAAAGCAUUUGCAAACCGAAUGCCUCCCCCUCUCAGAAGCAAGAGCUGGCAGAGCUUCUCAGCAGUGAAGCAACCACCUGGGCCACACUGCAGCUCCUACACUGGAAAGACGGCCCAGGUCUGCAGCAGCACCUCACACCUACUUAGACCCAGCCUGCCACUUGGGUCCUAGCAGAUGCACAGCAGAGAUGCACAGGAGGGAAUGCAGGAGCUCAGACACGAGCUCAAGGCUCUCUGUCCCUAACGUGACCACCCUAACCCGCGUGCUUCUACUGUCUGAGCAACGACUGCACAACCACAUCUCUGCAAGGUACCUGUCUCUGUUUUUAAAAAUGGGGAAAGCAAAGUUCAGAGAAGAAGUUACAAAACUAUACCGAAAAAACAUGGCCAGUAAGCAACUGAGUCAGAAUUUUUAAGAAGAGACAGAUUGGCUCUUUAGUUAUUUUUUAACCAAAUGACUCCCAUUUC